UACGUAGGGUGCAAGCGUUAAUCGGAAUUACUGGGCGUAAAGCGUGCGCAGGCGGUUUUGUAAGUCUGACGUGAAAUCCCCGGGCUCAACCUGGGAAUGGCGUUGGAGGCUGCAAGGCUGGAAUCUGGCAGAGGGGGGUAGAAUUCCACGUGUAGCAGUGAAAUGCGUAGAGAUGCGGAGGAACACCGAUGGCGAAGGCAGCCCCCUGGGUCAAGAUUGACGCUCAUGCACGAAAGCGUGGGGAGCAAACAGG
rnacentral:rRNA from 1 species